CCUACGGGAGGCAGCAGUGAGGGAUAUUGGUCAAUGGGCGAGAGCCUGAACCAGCCAAGUCGCGUGAAGGAUGAAGGACCUACGGGUGGUAAACUUCUUCUGCCAGGGAGCAAAUGGGUCGACGCGUGGGCUUAGCGAGAGUACCUGAAGUAAAAGCAUCGGCUAACUCCGUGCCAGCAGCCGCGGUAAUACGGAGGAUGCAAGCGUUAUCCGGAGUUAUUGGGUUUAAAGGGUGCGCAGGCGGCCCUUCAAGCCAGCUGGGAAAGUCUGUGGCUCAACCACAGAAUUGCCGUUGAAACUGGGGGGCUUGAGUAUGUUAGAGGCAGGCGGAAUGCGUGGUGUAGCGGUGAAAUGCGUAGAUAUCACGAAGAACCCCGAUGGCGAAGGCAGCCUGC
rnacentral:rRNA from 1 species